CCAAUAGCGUAUAUUAAAGUUGUUGCAGUUAAAAAGCUCGUAGUUGAAUUUCGGGACCAAUCUGCCAGUCGUGCCUUUGGUACGCACCGGUUUUAUUGGUUUCUCCCUUCUGAAUAACCACGAUGUCAUUAAUUUGGUGUCAUGGGGAAUCAGGACUGUUACUUUGAAAAAAUUAGAGUGUUUAAAGCAGGCUCACGCUUGAAUACAUUAGCAUGGAAUAAUGAAAUAGGACGUUUGACCCUAUUUUGUUGGUUUCUAGGAUCAACGUAAUGAUUAAUAGGGAUAGUUGAGGGCAUUAGUAUUCAAUUGUCAGAGGUGAAAUUCUUGGAUUUAUUGAAGACUAACUACUGUGAAAGCAUUUGCCAAGGAUGUUUUCAUUAAUCAAGAACGAAAAUUAGGGGAUCGAAGACGAUCAGAUACCGUCGUAGUCUUAACCAUAAACUAUGCUGACUAGGGAUCAGAUGAUGUUAUUUUUUAAUGACUCAUUCGGCGCCUUACG
rnacentral:misc_RNA from 1 species